AGGCACAGACGAGUCCAGAUAUUGUCGAUAAUCAGUUCGACCUGGAAGGAUUCGUUACUUUGGAGUCGUUAUGUCAUCUGACAGUUCAGGAUGCACUAACCAACUCGUUAGAUACCACUCCAGAAACUACGCACGACAGUCUUGAUGACUGGUCACGGUUGGUCUCCUCACCCACAACUCAGUCACCCGGUCAAGGGGAGAAGAAUGAUGUAUUGAUGCCCG
rnacentral:lncRNA from 1 species